GCUGGUCAGGUCAGUUGGUAAAGCGCUCCACUGGAGCGAGAGAGAGAAGUAUGGAAUGGAGAGGUCCCUGGUUCGAUACCAGAACCAGGCG
rnacentral:tRNA from 1 species